GGGAGUUGGACAUUAACACUAACAUAGACCUUAAGAUGAUAAGAAGCAUUUACAGCCUAUUCUCUCUGAAGCCUGCUAUGUGGAGGCUUCAUCUGCAUGAUGAAACCUUGGUCUCCACAACCCCUUACCUAACCCAGACAUUCCUUUCUACUGAUUCCAGAUCUUUAGAUAAUAACCAAUUGCCAAUCAAAAAAUCUUUGAAUCCACCUGCGAUCUGGAAGCCCCUCCCAUCUUUCUGAACCCAACCAUUGUACAUCUUACAUGUAUUGAUUGAUGUCUUGUGUCCCCCUAAAAUGUAUAAAAUCAAGUUGCAGGCCGACCACCUUGGGCACAUGUCAUCAGGACCUCCCCUGAGACUGUGUCACAGGUAUGUCCUUAACCUUGGCAAAAUAAACUCCAAAAUUAAGACUUGUUUCAGAUGCUUUUGGUUUACAGUGCUAACUCAGGAGUGUCAGAAGUGAAUUAAUUUGUGAACACCUAGUUGGUGUUGGAGAAUUUAUUGGUGUUGGAAAAGAUACUGUUACCGGAAAGAGGUCCCAAUCCAAACCCCAAAAGAGGGUUCUUGGACCUCAUGCAAGAAAGAAUUCAGGGUAAGUCCAUAGAGUAAAGUGAAAGCAAGUUUAUUAAGAAAGUAAAGGAAUAAAAGAGUGGCUGCUCCAUAGGCAGAACAGCCCCGAGGGCUGCUGGUUGGCUAUUUUUAUCAUUAUUUCCUGAUUAUUUGCUAAACAAGGGGUGGAUUAUUCAUGAGUUUUCCGGGAAAGGGCUAAGCAGUUCCUGGAAUUGAGGGUUCUUCCCCUUGUUAGAGCAUAUAGGGUAACUUCUUGACAUUACAAUGGCAUUUGUAAAGUGUCAUGGUGCCAGUGGGAGUGUCUUUUAGCAUGUUAAUGCAGUAUAAUUAGCAUAUCAUGAGCAGUGAGGAUAACUAGAGGUCACUUCUGUUGCCAUCUUAGUUUUGGUGGGUUUUGGCCGGCUUCUUUACUGCAACCUAUUUUAUCAGCAAGGUCUUUGUGGCCUGUGCCUUGUACCGACCUCCUAUCUCACUCUGUGACUUAGAAUGCCUCCUGGGAAAGCAGCCCAGCAGGUCUCAGCCUUAUUUUACCCAGCUCCUAUUCAAGAUGGAGUCUCUUUGAUUCAAACGCCUCUGACAAUACCACGUAUUUGGUGUUAGGGAAAAACUCUCCAGACUCACUCAUCCCUGUUCUUUGGUGGCUAAGGGGAGGCCCAGGAACAGAGGAGAAAUGAGUUUGGGUAGUUCUUCCCCAAGACCCUUACCAGUUAUCUGCAUUUGAAGAAUUCUCUGGCUGGGUGCGGUGGCUCACAGCUGUAAUCCCAGCACUUUGGGAGGCCAAAGCACAUGAUCCACCCACCUCGGCCUCCCAAAGUGCUGGGACUACAGGUGUGAGUCACCACGCUUGGCCAUGCCAGUUGUUUCUGCUGCUUGCCGUGUAGACCGCUGUGAUGACCAUCCUCUUAUUGACCCUCCUGUGUCUCUGGAGCCCCACCACCUGCCUUCUACCCGGAACUUUCCUUCUCAGGUCCUUCUUCAACACCAGCUCCAGGAUCUGCAAGACCUUUGGAUAUGGCCGCUGCAGAAGGAAGGAGAACCACUUCCUGGAGAAGCAGGAGUAAGCCAGGAUCUGCCACAGGAGAGAGCCGGGACCCCAGGGUGUGGGAUAAGGCGAGGAGCAGGUCCGGAGGGAAGAUCUGAGGCAAAGACGUAGUGUUCACAGGUCCUACACCCCUUGCACCUACAGUGUCCCUUCUCUGAUGCUGAGGCUCUUGCUGCCUUCCGAGGAGAAAGUGGCAACAUGUCCUGUGAAACCACAGACUUAACACAUCUUCCAAAAGCCAGCUUGGCAGGAGGUCACUGCUAGAAGCACCUCUGAAAUAAUCUGAGCCGUCUUACCUGUUCCCCUUUUUCAGAUGGGAACACUGAGGCAGCCACCCUGCUGAGUGAGUCUGCAGUGCUCCUGAGCCACCACCCCCCAGGCUUGGCAAACUCACUGCGUUCUUGUCUGUAGCCUUGACUGCAGGGAGGAUCAGAGAUGCUCAUUUCUGGGAGGGUCUAGGAUCUGCCAGCUGCACAGUGUCCAAGUCAAGGGCUUCAGCAAUGACAAUGAACAAAUUCCUUUCUCUUUGCAGAGAGCCUGUCACCUGUGCUGCCUUGAGAUGCUGACGUCUGAGGAUGCCCCAGACAGGGCCUGUGGCAGCUUUCUGAAAUAGUGCAGCACCUUCUCUGCUUCCUCCUCAACCUUCUCCUUCACAGCAGAACCCUGCCUCCUUCCUCUCCCCACGGGCUUGUUUCAGCACUGUAUUUGAUAAACUGAGCACCACAAGAACACAAACCACAUUCCUUUGUUUUUUCAUCACGUUAUCCCCAGCACUUAGCACAGUGCCUGGCACAGAGGAGACAGUCUGUAAAUAUUUGUGUAAUGAAUGAAUAAAUGAGGGCAUGAGUACA
rnacentral:sRNA from 1 species